ACUCCUACGGGAGGCUGCAGUGGGGAAUCUUCCGCAAUGGGCGAAAGCCUGACGGAGCAACGCCGCGUGAGUGACGAAGGCCCUUGGGUCGUAAAACUCUGUCUUCAGGGAAGAAAAAAAUGACGGUACCUGAGGAGGAAGCCCCGGCUAACUACGUGCCAGCAGCCGCGGUAAAACGUAGGGGGCGAGCGUUGUCCGGAAUUACUGGGCGUAAAGGGCGUGUAGGCGGUUCGCGAAGUCAGGAGUGAAAACUCGGGGCUCAACCUCGAGAUUGCUUUUGAAACCAGCGGGCUUGAGUGCAGGAGAGGAAAGUGGAAUUCCCAGUGUAGCGGUGAAAUGCGUAGAUAUUGGGAGGAACACCAGUGGCGAAAGCGGCUUUCUGGCCUG
rnacentral:rRNA from 1 species